ACUCAAAUGAAUUGACGGGGGCCCGCACAAGCGGUGGAACAUGUGGUUCAAUUCGACGCAACGCGAAGAACCUUACCUGGGCUUGAACCGCGCACGACCAGCCGUGGAAACAUGGCCUUCCCGCAAGGGACGUGCGUAGAGGUGCUGCAUGGCUGUCGUCAGCUCGUGCCGUGAGGUGUUGGGUUAAGUCCCGCAACGAGCGCAACCCUUACACGUAGUUGCCACCCGCAAGGGGGAACUCUACGUGGACUGCUCCGGAUAACGGAGAGGAAGGUGGGGAUGACGUCAAGUCAGCAUGGCCUUUAUGUCCAGGGCUACACACGUGUUACAAUGCACGAUACAAACCGUCGCAGAGCCGCGAGGUGAAGCUAAUCGGAGAAAAUCGUGCUCAGUUCGGAUUGCAGUCUGCAACUCGACUGCAUGAAGCCGGAAUCGCUAGUAAUGGCGUAUCAGAACGACGCCGUGAAUACGUUCCCGGGCCUUGCACACACCGCCCGU
rnacentral:rRNA from 1 species